CCUACGGGUGGCAGCAGUGGGGAAUAUUGGACAAUGGGGGCAACCCUGAUCCAGCCAUGCCGCGUGUGUGAAGAAGGCCCUCGGGUUGUAAAGCACUUUCAGUGAGGAAGAACGCCUUGUGGUUAAUACCCAUCAGGAAAGACAUCACUCACAGAAGAAGCACCGGCUAACUCCGUGCCAGCAGCCGCGGUAAUACGGAGGGUGCGAGCGUUAAUCGGAAUUACUGGGCGUAAAGCGCGCGUAGGUGGCUUGAUAAGCCGGUUGUGAAAGCCCCGGGCUCAACCUGGGAACGGCAUCCGGAACUGUCAAGCUAGAGUGCAGGAGAGGAAGGUAGAAUUCCCGGUGUAGCGGUGAAAUGCGUAGAGAUCGGGAGGAAUACCAGUGGCGAAGGCGGCCUUCUGGACUGACACUGACACUGAGGUGCGAAAGCGUGGGUAGCAAACAGGAUUAGAUACCCGAGUAGUC
rnacentral:rRNA from 1 species